CAGUAGCCGCGGGAAUACGAAGGGGGCUAGCGUUGUUCGGAAUCACUGGGCGUAAAGCGCACGUAGGCGGACUUUUAAGUCAGGGGUGAAAUCCCAAGGCUCAACCUUGGAACUGCCUUUGAUACUGGAAGUCUUGAGUUCGGGAGAGGUGAGUGGAACUGCGAGUGUAGAGGUGAAAUUCGUAGAUAUUCGCAAGAACACCAGUGGCGAAGGCGGCUCACUGGCCCGAUACUGACGCUGAGGUGCGAAAGCGUGGGGAGCAAACAGGAUUAGAUACCCGUGUAGUCCCUGUCUCUUAUAC
rnacentral:rRNA from 1 species